UACGUAGGGUGCAAGCGUUGUCCGGAAUUAUUGGGCGUAAAGAGCUCGUAGGCGGUCUGUCGCGUCUGCUGUGAAAACUCAGGGCUUAACCCUGAGCUUGCAGUGGGUACGGGCAGACUAGAGUGCGGUGGGGGAGACUGGAAUUCCUGGUGUAGCGGUGAAAUGCGCAGAUAUCAGGAGGAACACCGGUGGCGAAGGCGGGUCUCUGGGCCGUAACUGACGCUGAGGAGCGAAAGCAUGGGGAGCGAACAGG
rnacentral:rRNA from 1 species